UACGGGAGGCAGCAGUGGGGAAUAUUGCACAAUGGGCGAAAGCCUGAUGCAGCUAUGCCGCGUGUAUGAAGAAGGCCUUAGGGUUGUAAAGUACUUUCAUCGGGGAGGAAAAAACAAAACUAAUAAUUUUAUUUCUUGACGUUACCCGAAAAAGAAGCACCGGCUAACUCCGUGCCAGCAGCCGCGGUAAUACGGAGGGUGCUAGCGUUAAUCAGAAUUACUGGGCGUAAAGAGCACGUAGGUGGUUUUUUUAAAGUCAGAUGUGAAAUCCCUGGGCUUAACCUAGGAACUGCAUUUUGAAACUGAAAUACUAGAGUAUCGUAGAGGGAGGUAGAAUUCUAGGUGUAGCGGUGAAAUGCGUAGAUAUCUGGAGGAAUACCUGUGGCGAAAGCGGCCUCCUAAACGAAUACUGACACUGAGGUGCGAAAGCGUGGGGAGCAAACAGGGAUUAGGAUACC
rnacentral:rRNA from 1 species